rnacentral:rRNA from 1 species
UACGUAGGGUUCGAGCGUUGUCCGGAAUUAUUGGGCGUAAAGAGCUUGUAGGCGGUCUGUCGCGUCUGCUGUGAAAAUCCGGGGCUCAACUCCGGACUUGCAGUGGGUACGGGCAGACUAGAGUGUGGUAGGGGAGACUGGAAUUCCUGGUGUAGCGGUGAAAUGCGCAGAUAUCAGGAGGAACACCGAUGGCGAAGGCAGGUCUCUGGGCCACUACUGACACUGAGAAGCGAAAGCAUGGGGAGCGAACAGG